UUACGAGGUCAGGACACUGUGAGGAUUGACAGAUUGAAAGCUCUUUCUUGAUUCAGUGGGUGGUGGUGCAUGGCCGUUCUUAGUUGGUGGAGUGAUUUGUCUGGUUAAUUCCGUUAACGAACGAGACCUUAACCUGCUAAAUAGUCACGCGAACCGGUCCGCAAGGGCUCAAAGUUCGCGGCUCGACUUCUUAGAGGGACUAUUCGCACCCGCCAGCGAAUGGAAGUUUGAGGCAAUAACAGGUCUGUGAUGCCCUUAGAUGUUCUCGGCCGCACGCGCGUUACACUGACGGAGUCGACGAGCGUUUUUCCUUGCCCGACAGGGCUGGGUAACCUCCUGAAACUCCGUCGUGAUGGGGAUAGAUCAUUGCAAUUAUUGAUCUUGAACGAGGAAUUCCUAGUAGGCGCGAGUCAUCAACUCGCACCGAUUACGUCCCUGCCCUUUGUACACACCGCCCGUCGCUCCUACCGAUUGAACGGUCCGGCGAGAACUCCGGAUGGUC
rnacentral:rRNA from 1 species